rnacentral:rRNA from 1 species
GGUUAGUCCGCAACGAGCGCAACCCUAUUGUUAGUUGCCAUCAUUCAGUUGGCACUCUAGCGAGACUGCCGGUAAUAAACCGGAGGAAGGUGGGGAUGACGUCAAAUCAUCAUGCCCCUUAUGACCUGGGCUACACACGUGCUACAAUGGUUGGUACAACGAGUUGCGAGUCGGUGACGGCGAGCUAAUCUCUUAAAGCCAAUCUCAGUUCGGAUUGUAGGCUGCAACUCGCCUACAUGAAGUCGGAAUCGCUAGUAAUCGCGGAUCAGCACGCCGCGGUGAAUACGUUCCCGGGCCUU